CGACCGGCGCACGGGUGAGUAACACGUAUGCAACCUGGCCGUCACAGGUGGAUAACCGGAAGAAAUUCCGACUAAUACAGCAUAACACUCCUGAGGGACAUCCUUCGGGAGUCAAAGGAGGCAACUCCGGUGACGGAUGGGCAUGCGGCGCAUUAGGUAGUUGGUAGGGUAACGGCCUACCAAGCCGACGAUGCGUAGGGGUUCUGAGAGGAGGGUCCCCCACAUUGGAACUGAGACACGGUCCAAACUCCUACGGAAGGCAGCAG
rnacentral:rRNA from 1 species